CAGUCGCCGCGGUAAUACGUAGGUCCCGAGCGUUGUCCGGAUUUAUUGGGCGUAAAGCGAGCGCAGGCGGUUAGAUAAGUCUGAAGUUAAAGGCUGUGGCUUAACCAUAGUACGCUUUGGAAACUGUUUAACUUGAGUGCAAGAGGGGAGAGUGGAAUUCCAUGUGUAGCGGUGAAAUGCGUAGAUGUAUGGAGGAACACCGGUGGCGAAAGCGGCUCUCUGGCUUGUAACUGACGCUGAGGCUCGAAAGCGUGGGGAGCAAACAGGAUUAGAUACCCGAGUAGUCCCUGUCUCUUAUACA
rnacentral:rRNA from 1 species